UGUAUCUCAUGUACAUAUGCAUAUAUCUUACUCUCAGGAUUACUACAACUAAAAGUUUGUCUGCUCUUCCAAUGUACUCCCCCCAAAUAGCUGAGUACUGAUGGACUUUGAGAAAACUGUAGAUUCUCCAGUCCUACGGGGAUUCCCUCAAUGAAGAAUUUUUCAAACAGCAGAGAUUUAAACUCCUGAUGAGUUAUUUCAUGACUUUGGAUGUUCUGCAUAAAAUUUCAUUAGAAAACAAUGCCAGAGUUUAAAGACUAGAUUCAAAGAAGUUUUCUUCUAGUCCAAAUUUUCUGUUAUCAGAAAUAGAUGUUAAAUUUUACUAGACUUUUUUCAUCAGAUUUUUUCCCUUGAAAUUUAAUUGUGUUGAGUGUAUUUAUAUAGAGCUUCAUAUACUAUUCUCUCUGCUUUUGUAUUUUUUGAAAUUUUCCAUAUAAUAAAAAAUUAAAAUGUAGUUGAUCCUCUCUAUUCAUGUAUUGUGUAUUUGCAAAUAGUCUUGCUUGCUAAAAUGUAGUUGUAACCCCAAAAUCAAUACCUGUAGCACUUUUCACUGUCAUUCACAGAAAUGCCAGACAUGGAAUGUGCAGAGAGACCAAAAACUUGAGUUUGCCCAAUGCAUUUGUUCCCAACUGAGGUCAAACAGUGAAGCUCUUCCUUCUUUUAUCAGCUCUCAUGAACAAAUUUUCUUUUACAAUCUAUUUAAUGCCAGAUUCUUCAUAGUUUUGUACUUUUUGUUGGUGAUAUGGCUGUUUACAGUAGGCACCAAGGGUAAUGUUAAAGUACUUUCCAGUGUUCCUAAGUGCAGGAAGGCUUAUGCCUUGCAGAGAAAGUACAUGUAUUAGAUAAGUUUCAUUCAAGCAUGAGUUACAGUACCGUUGGCCAUUGAGUUCAAUGUUAAUGAAUCAACAAUAUAUAUUAAACAGUGUGACUUUAAAUAGAAAUAUCCACAAAACAAGGUUAUGUGUUGAUGGACUGGUGAAAAUAUUGUGACCAAAGGCUCACAGGAACCUAACCUUGUAUUUCCCUUAGGAGCAAUGGCUUGAUGUUUGCAAUUUGUUCCUGCUGACUUUAUAGAACGUAACCAUCACAAAUAACAAAUUAACUCUUUGUAAUUGUAAUGAUUUAUAGUAGUUGGAUUUCUUAAUAUUGAAUCAUUUUUGGAUUCUUGGAAUAAACAAUUUGGCAAAGG